GGAGCUCUUGUGUCGUCAUGAAGGUAGAAUCUAGUCUGAAGUAGGAUCUAGUAUGUAUAAGAAGAUGGAUGGGGAAGAUUUCCCUCCUGACUUCUUUCUGGUCCAGAAAUCAUUUUGUUUGUGAAGUACUACAUGAGAUGUUAACAGAUUCAUGACUCCUGUGUCGUCCAAGUCGUAAUUAUAAAGGUUCACCUGAGAUUGGAUUCUGAAUCUUUGCUUCCCUUCCCAUGAAGUAUCUGUUUCCAUCUCUGAUUCUGGUCAGCUGGUCUCUCACAGGCACUGGGAGCACAAUGGUGAAGAAGACAAAACCCUCUGGAGGCCUCCAGACACAUCCAUUCGAUGUCCCCAUGAUUACCUCAAGUUCACCAUGUCCACACUAAGAAUGAACAUCUGUCUCCCAACCUUGCUCUUCUUCCUGUAUUUCCUAUCUCACAGACCUGCGUUACACUGACCACAGAAGUGUGUUAGACCCAUUCUCAUUCACCCCACAUUUAAUCAUGAAGACCUGUUACUUCUAUGUCUUUAAUAUUCCUUCUCUACAAUUGUUACUGCUUCGGUUCUAUUUCUUGUAUCUUUUUGCAGAAAUGAGGAUGAUAAAGAGGAUGUUAAUGGUGACAUUGAUGCAUUAAUGCAACAAAUAUUUACUGAACACCCAUUGUGUGCCAGACCAAUGUUUGCAGUCAAAAAAUAGUCACUACUCGACCCAACAUCGUCAGUCAUUAGGAAAAUGCAAAGUAAAACCACAAUGGGAUACAAGUAUGUUCUUAUUACUUUGCCUAAACACAACAACAACAAGCUGUUAAUUCCAAGUUUGGCAAGGAUGCAGAGCAACUGGAACUGUCACACAUUGUUGGUAGGAAUGGAAAAUAGUACAGUCACUUUGGAAAAAAACUUGGCAGUUUUUUAUAAAAUGAAAUGUACAUUUACCAUGCAACCUGGCAAUCCCGCUCCUAGGUAUUUGCCCACGUUAGAAAGAAAGAUAUGUUCACAUAAAAACUGUAUGUGAAUAUUUAUAGUUUCUUCACUUACAAUCUUCAAAAUAUUGGAAACAACCCAAGUGUCCUUCAGCCAGGGAAUGAAUAAACUGUGUUAUACCCAUACA